rnacentral:rRNA from 1 species
AGAGUUUGAUCCUGGCUCAGGAUGAACGCUAGCGACAGGCUUAACACAUGCAAGUCGAGGGGCAGCACAGGUAGCAAUACCGGGUGGCGACCGGCGCACGGGUGAGUAACGCGUAUGCAACUUACCUAUCAGAGGGGGAUAACCCGGCGAAAGUCGGACUAAUACCGCAUGAAGCAGGGGCCCCGCAUGGGGAUAUUUGCUAAAGAUUCAUCGCUGAUAGAUAGGCAUGCGUUCCAUUAGGCAGUUGGCGGGGUAACGGCCCACCAAACCGACGAUGGAUAGGGGUUCUGAGAGGAAGGUCCCCCACAUUGGUACUGAGACACGGACCAAACUCCUACGGGAGGCAGCAGUGAGGAAUAUUGGUCAAUGGGCGUAAGCCUGAACCAGCCAAGUCGCGUGAGGGAUGAAGGUUCUAUGGAUCGUAAACCUCUUUUAUAAGGGAAUAAAGUGCGGGACGUGUCCCGUUUUGUAUGUACCUUAUGAAUAAGGAUCGGCUAACUCCGUGCCAGCAGCCGCGGUAAUACGGAGGAUCCGAGCGUUAUCCGGAUUUAUUGGGUUUAAAGGGUGCGUAGGCGGCCUUUUAAGUCAGCGGUGAAAGUCUGUGGCUCAACCAUAGAAUUGCCGUUGAAACUGGGAGGCUUGAGUAUGUUUGAGGCAGGCGGAAUGCGUGGUGUAGCGGUGAAAUGCUUAGAUAUCACGCAGAACCCCGAUUGCGAAGGCAGCCUGCCAAGCCAUGACUGACGCUGAUGCACGAAAGCGUGGGGAUCAAACAGGAUUAGAUACCCUGGUAGUCCACGCAGUAAACGAUGAUCACUAGCUGUUUGCGAUACAGUGUAAGCGGCACAGCGAAAGCGUUAAGUGAUCCACCUGGGGAGUACGCCGGCAACGGUGAAACUCAAAGGAAUUGACGGGGGCCCGCACAAGCGGAGGAACAUGUG